rnacentral:lncRNA from 1 species
AAACCUAGCAACGGAAAACACCGAAGUGGUAAAUAGGAGCAACUGGCGCACUUUUACAGUGGGAGAGAUGAAGAGGACGAGAAAUCUUGACCGGCUGUUAUGAAAAACUGGAUAACAGUCAUGAAGUUCUUGACUUUUCUCGUGAGUGCCGCACACCAGAAUGCGAGUACUCAAUAAAGAUCUAUAAAAU